rnacentral:rRNA from 1 species
UGGGGAAUAUUGGACAAUGGGCGAAAGCCUGAUCCAGCCAUGCCGCGUGUGUGAAGAAGGUCUUCGGAUUGUAAAGCACUUUAAGUUGGGAGGAAGGGCAGUAAGCGAAUACCUUGCUGUUUUGACGUUACCGACAGAAUAAGCACCGGCUAACUCUGUGCCAGCAGCCGCGGUAAUACAGAGGGUGCGAGCGUUAAUCGGAUUUACUGGGCGUAAAGCGUGCGUAGGCGGCUAAUUGAGUCGGAUGUGAAAUCCCCGAGCUUAACUUGGGAAUUGCAUUCGAUACUGGUUAGCUAGAGUGUGGGAGAGGAUGGUAGAAUUCCAGGUGUAGCGGUGACAUGCGUAGAGAUCUGGAGGAAUACCGAUGGCGAAGGCAGCCAUCUGGCCUAACACUGACGCUGAGGUACGAAAGCAUGGGGAGCAAACAGG